rnacentral:lncRNA from 1 species
CAUCUUCCUUGUUUGGGAAGUAUAAAUCCCGUGGGAAGUCAGCUGAAGAACAUUUUACGCAUCGCUCAUCCUAUUAUGAGCUCAGUGCUCUUCCAUCUUUCUACAAGG